rnacentral:rRNA from 1 species
CCUACGGGGUGCAGCAGUGGGGAAUAUUGGACAAUGGGCGAAAGCCUGAUCCAGCCAUGCCGCGUGUGUGAAGAAGGCCUUCGGGUUGUAAAGCACUUUCAGUGGGGAAGAAAGCCUUGGGGCUAAUACCCUCGAGGAAGGACAUCACCCACAGAAGAAGCACCGGCUAACUCCGUGCCAGCAGCCGCGGUAAUACGGAGGGUGCGAGCGUUAAUCGGAAUUACUGGGCGUAAAGCACGCGUAGGCGGUCUGAUAAGCCGGUUGUGAAAGCCCCGGGCUCAACCUGGGAACGGCAUCCGGAACUGUCAGGCUAGAGUGCAGGAGAGGAAGGUAGAAUUCCCGGUGUAGCGGUGAAAUGCGUAGAGAUCGGGAGGAAUACCAGUGGCGAAGGCGGCCUUCUGGACUGACACUGACGCUGAGGUGCGAAAGCGUGGGUAGCAAACAGGAUUAGAUACCCUAGUAGUC